GUGGUUGUAGCUCAGUGGUAGAGAGCUUGCCUUGCAUGCAUGAGGCCCUGAGUUCAAUCCUUAGCACCACA
rnacentral:tRNA from 1 species